GUGCUCCUUUUGACAGCAUAUAUACUAAAAAUUAGGAUGCUAUAGAGAAGAUUAGCAUGGCCCCCGAGCAAGGAUGACAUGCAAAUUCAUGAAGCAUUCCAUAUUUUA